rnacentral:misc_RNA from 1 species
AGCAGCCGCGGUAAUUCCAGCUCCAAUAGCGUAUAUUAAAGUUGUUGCAGUUAAAAAGCUCGUAGUUGAAUUUCGGGGUUAGUAGGUUGGUCAUGCCUCUGGUAUGUACUGGUCUCACUGAUUCCUCCUUCCUGAUGAACCUUAAUGCCAUUAAUUUGGUGUUUUGGGGAAUUUGGACUGUUACUUUGAAAAAUUAGAGUGUUUAAAGCAAGCUAACGCUUGAAUACAUUAGCAUGGAAUAAUGAAAUAGGACGUUCGAUCCUAUUUUGUUGGUUUCUAGGAUUGACGUAAUGAUUAAUAGGGGUAGUUGGGGGCAUUAGUAUUCAAUUGUCAGAGGUGAAAUUCUUGGAUUUAUUGAAGACUAACUACUGCGAAAGCAUUUGCCAAGGAUGUUUUCAUUAAUCAAGAACGAAAGUUAGGGGAUCGAAGACGAUCAGAUACCGUCGUAGUCUUAACCAUAAACUAUGCCGACUAGGGAUCGGAUGAUGUUAAUUUUUAAUGACUCAUUCGGCGCCUUACG